rnacentral:rRNA from 1 species
GACGAACGCUGGCGGCGUGCUUAACACAUGCAAGUCGAGCGGUAAGGCCCUUUUGGGGGUACACGAGCGGCGAACGGGUGAGUAACACGUGGGUGACCUGCCCUCAGCUCUGGGAUAAGCCUGGGAAACUGGGUCUAAUACUGGAUAUGACCUUUCCUCGCAUGGGGUUGGGUGGAAAGUUUUUCGGCUGGGGAUGGGCCCGCGGCCUAUCAGCUUGUUGGUGGGGUGAUGGCCUACCAAGGCGACGACGGGUAGCCGGCCUGAGAGGGCGACCGGCCACACUGGGACUGAGACACGGCCCAGACUCCUACGGGAGGCAGCAGUGGGGAAGUAUUGCGCAAUGGGCGGAAGCCUGACGCAGCGACGCCGCGU